rnacentral:rRNA from 1 species
GACGAACGCUGGCGGCGUGCUUAACACAUGCAAGUCGAACGGAAAGGCCCAGCUUGCUGGGUACUCGAGUGGGGAACGGGUGAGUAACACGUGGGUGAUCUGCCCUGGACUCUGGGAUAAGCCUGGGAAACUGGGUCUAAUACCGGAUAUGACCUUACAUCGCAUGGUGUUUGGUGGAAAGCUUUUGCGGUUCAGGAUGGGCCCGCGGCCUAUCAGCUUGUUGGUGGGGUAAUGGCCUACCAAGGCGACGACGGGUAGCCGACCUGAGAGGGUGAUCGGCCACACUGGGACUGAGACACGGCCCAGACUCCUACGGGAGGCAGCAGUGGGGAAUAUUGCACAAUGGGCGCAAGCCUGAUGCAGCGACGCCGCGUGAGGGAUGACGGCCUUCGGGUUGUAAACCUCUUUCACCAGGGACGAAGCGUGAGUGACGGUACCUGGAGAAGAAGCACCGGCCAACUACGUG